CGCGUAAGAACCUACCUUUAGGAAAAGGACAACAUCAGGAAACUUUUGUUAAAACUUUAUAUGCCGAGAGGUGAAAGAUUGUAAAAUGCCAAAAGAUGGGCUUGCGUCUGAUUAGUUUGUUGAUAAGGUAAAGUCUUAUCAAGACGAUGAUCAGUAGCUGAUCUUAGAGGAUGAUCAGCCACACUGGAACUGAGACACGGUUCAGACUCCUAUGGGAGCAGCAGUGAGGAAUUUUCCGCAAUGAGCGAAAGCUUGACGGAGCAAGACCACGUGGUGGAAGACGGUUUAUGGGCUGUAAAC
rnacentral:rRNA from 1 species